rnacentral:Y_RNA from 1 species
AGCUGGUCCGAAGGUAGUGAGCUAUCUCAGUUGAUUGUUCACAGUCAGUUACAGGUUGAACUCCUGUUCUACACUUUCCCUCUUCUCACUGCUGCACUUGACUAGUCUUAA